rnacentral:rRNA from 1 species
UACGGAGGAUGCGAGCGUUAUCCGGAUUUAUUGGGUUUAAAGGGUGCGUAGGCGGACUGUCAAGUCAGCGGUAAAAUUGAGAGGCUCAACCUCUUCCCGCCGUUGAAACUGGUGGUCUUGAGUGGAUGAGAAGUACGCGGAAUGCGUGGUGUAGCGGUGAAAUGCAUAGAUAUCACGCAGAACUCCGAUUGCGAAGGCGGCGUACCGGCAUCCAACUGACGCUGAGGCACGAAAGCGUGGGGAUCAAACAGG